ACAUAAGUAAUGUAAAAGCAUAUUUAUUUUCCAAAUAAAAAGACAGAAUAUCUUCUGCUUAUGUA
rnacentral:tRNA from 1 species